AUUUCUUGGUAGACAUACUGAUUCUGGAAGUUACAAACAAGCAUAUCUUCAUUUACAAACAAACAUUUCAUAGGUCUUUGACACCAACCGUCUACGUAUCCUUGCCUGGAUCCUCAAGCCACUCAGUGGGGGAACAACUUGGAGCGAGUUUCACUUGACCUGCCAGUGAGAGGUGCUGGAUCUUUUGGAUCUUUCAGCACUGUCUGCAAAUGCUAUCAGGUUCCAAGAAUUUGACAAAGCAUCCCUGGGCAUCAAAAACAUUGUGCAGAUCCCAUGGUGCAAUUCUCAAGCCCUCUUGAGAUGCUGUAUCUUCUCAACAUCAUCAGCUUCUUCACUUUCUACAGCAUCUCCUGUGCAGUUCCUUUCCCUGGGUGAACCACCGUGAACAUCUCCAUCUCUGUACUUAAAGGCAAAUGAAUACCACUGCUGUGUAGUCUCCAGUCCCUCUUGGCCCUCAGCACUGGUUUGAAAAUCCUUUUGCAAAUACUACACAAGCACUUCCUUGGGGCUGGGAGUCCAAGACUGCUGAGCUCCAUACUGGGAAGUUCCUAGAGAAGGACGCUCCAUUUACUGGCUAGA